rnacentral:lncRNA from 1 species
CCCCUCUUAGACUAGGAAAAUAGCUCCUAAAAAAUAAUAUGCCAAAAAUUGGCAUGUGUCAGUAAUAAACCCUAAAAAUCAUACUAAAAGUAGUACGUAUAAGUAAGAUUUUAAACAAAUACAUAACUAAUAUUCUAUUUUGUCCUUUCUUCUAUGUUAAGCCACUUUAACGAUUUAAUUAAUCAAUUAAAUAUUCUAUAAAAUUCUCAAAUAUUGCAAGAUCAAUGUUCGAUGAUUUAAAACAAAGCAUAAGUAAGAUGAUUUCAUGUGAUCAUAGUUGACU